rnacentral:lncRNA from 1 species
AGAGCAAGAGGAGAAAUGCAAAGGGACCCAAAGGGCGAGAGAUGGGGGGAGAGAGGGAAAGGAAGGGGAAUUCUUGGGACGGACGAAGGAUGAUGUCGCCCGGAUAGAGCUUGCUCAUUUGUUUGCAGGGAGAGGAGCAGGUGGAUGAAAUGUAGGUGUUGAGAAAGGAUUUGACUUCCAUUUUACACAGGGGGAAACAAGACUCAAAGGGAUGCCAGGCGAUCUGGCCAAUGCCGGAUGAGCUCACGUACACAGUGGGCGACGUGCGGAGCUCUUCGAAUGCCGGCCUCAUUUAAUCCUCACCAUAACCAGAUGGGCCCGGGUCCAUCAUCAUCCCCAAUUCACAGGUGAAGACCCGGAGAUCUUGAGAAAUUAGGCAACUUUCUAAUACUUAACGUGACAUCCGCCAGCUAAGAAGUCGUGCACUAGUGCAGACCCACACAGCUCAUGUCGCUCAUCACAGUGCCAGGUGGGGCACAGUGCGACCCAGGGGAGACAGAGAAAUCACAAAAGCAGAAACAGGGGAUUUUGCUGAGAUGGGACUGGAGGAGAACUGGCUCCUGCUGGGUUACCAAGUGGCGUUACCAUUAUCACCGGCAGCAGAAGAGGGAUCCGAGGGCCAGUAGUGGUGGAGGUGACCCCACUCACCCAAGCAUUCCAUGAAGAGGCUGAAUUCCUUGAUGACUCUUCACAGGCGAGCAAGGAACAAGUUUUGAGAAACCUGAGUAACACCGUAGGCUCAAGGUCUAGAUACAAAUGUUCCUGAAUACUCAGUCUGGCUGUAGAUACUUGGAUUGGAAACAGACUCAGUAGGUCAUCUUGUCCCCCCUCCUGCCUUUGGCAGAACUGACUGUUUUUUUCCCCCUUUCUUCUUCUUCUCCCUAAAGCCCCCCAGUCCAUAGUUAUAUAUUCUAGUCGUGAGUGCCUCUGGCUGUGCUAUGUGGGACGCCUCCUCAGCAUGACUUGAUGAGUGAUGCCAUGUCCACACCCAGGAUCCAAACCGGCGAAACCCUGGGGAGCCAAAGCGGAGUGUGCAAACUUAACCAAUCGGCCACGGGGCCGGCCCCUUGACUAACUCUUGAUAUAUGGUUGUCUUACUCUUUCUAUAUCUCCAGGGAUCAUGAUACUACACAUCCCUCCACUCAUUUACUCAUCCAUCCAUCCUCCCACCUGUCCAUCCAUCCACCCAUCCACCCACCCAUCCAUCAUUUAUUGAAAGAUGAGUAAGACAGGGAUCCUUUCCUUUAAGAACUAAUGGUAUAUUCUUUUCAGGGGUUCCAAUGCCUAAACAACAGGAGUAAUUUCU